rnacentral:sRNA from 1 species
CCACUGACCACAGGUUAAAGUUGAGGCCUGCUAUAACGACUGGUCUCCACUGACCACAGGCUAGUGUUGAGGCCUGCUAUAACGACUUAUCUCGCAUCUUCUUUUUAUGAAAUCCAUUUUUUUAAAUGUCUGUAAGUCUAUAUUAUGGCCCAAUGCUGCUAGCAAUAAGACAUCCUCUUUAACCUGUAGGCCAUUAAAAUUAAGGCAAGCUAUCCCACCCCCCUUUUUAUUUUGGGUUGCAAUCUGCAAUCUGACAAUGAUACUCUUCUACAACAGAUGCCAAAAUAAUCUUGAUAUAGUUUGCAUGUGUGUGUUAGAUGUAUACAACUUGUAAAAAAUAUGUGGACAAAAUGAUGACACCAAAUAGACUAAACAAAAGUCAAAGACAGGCGUGAAAGUCUUUAGACUAUAAAUCAACAAGAGAAUAAAAUAAAACACCAACCAGAUCAACUGCAUUAACAACAAUUUAAUUUAUUUAUAUCUCCUGCAACAUUUAGAGGGGACACAAUUUUAUCAAAUAUAGAAAUAGUUUCCUACUACAGGUAUAGAUAUUACAUAACCUCAAUGCUAAAUGAUACAUACAUAAUUUGUUAUUACCUGGUGCUAAACUUCCUUCCCUGCUAAAUGAUAAAUAAUACAAACAUCACCUAGAUCUGAACCCCCAAAUGCUAAACCAUGCAUAAGUCAUAGAUAACCUAGGGUUUAGCCUCACAAAUACAAACUCUAUAAAUACACUUGCCAGGAAGAGUGACUUUAUUUUGUCUCAGUUUACUUGACAACAAUGAAACAUCACAAAGUCAGAAGGUCUAGACUAGACUCAAGUCAAAGUAGAAGUUCAUGAAAUGUAGAGGGCUGUAGUUAGAAUUGGAUUCAUAGGAAUAAUACUGAUAUUACUGCUAUUUGCUUUACAAUGGAUUAUAAUGAUUAUCUAAAAAAAAAAAAAAAACAAUGACUAAAAUAUUAAACAGCAGCUAACUUAUGAAGACAGCAUACUACUAACACAAAUAUAUAUGUAUGUCAAUAAUAAAAUAUUCAACCAGAUACUGCAGGGAUAAUAACAUUUUAAAAUAUUCAAAUAUGGCAGUUAACCCCAAAGUUUAUGAAGAAAUUAAACUAAUAAAAUAGCCAAAUGUAAAUUAUAUACUAAGAAAAACAAAAGUCACUGACAUUCUAUGACACGUUUAGCUUCCUAAUUUGUUUGAGAUUAAUUACUUCACAACUAGGGACUAGUUACACAUUAGGCAUGGCUUUUGAAAAAAAGUUUUUUUUCAUUAAUGCCGGAAAAAUUCAAAGUAAAAAAACAAACAAAUCCAAAACUUGAACUGCCACCAUAUAAUUCUAACCCAAACUCAUAACAUUUCAUUAACAAAGGAACAAUGCAACAAACACCAAAGUAAAUAGAGUAAAAAUAAAAACAUCUUAAUUCUAGAUGCCCACAACUUUACAAUUACCCUCUAGCAGGAUUUGCAAAAAGUGUUAAUUUAAUGUCAGAAAAGAUUAGAGGAAUCUAUAGACUAAUCUUUCAGCCCACUGAGGGAUGGGACAAAUUGAAUGUGUAAAGAAGGAAAGUACCAAACUACUUGAAGAAUUCAAUGAAAAUUUGCAAUAAGAAGAAAGAAACAAAUCUUAUACAAUUAUAACAUUUUCAUUUUAAUGGUUCAUCACCAAUGUGGGUAUAUUUCUGUUUUAAAAAAAUAUUUUUUUGUGUGCAUAGCUUUAAUAGUUAUCUGUUCAAACAGCAAAACUUGUUGAAUUGUUAUGUGCUUAAAUAUACUUAAAUAUAUCAUAGGCUUCUGAGCAAUCAGAACUAUCAAAAAGUGAAUUAUUUGGAGUGUCACAGUAACAUAGA